rnacentral:rRNA from 1 species
GUUGAACGCUGGCGGCGUGCCUAAUACAUGCAAGUCGAGCGAAGCGGGGGCGGGUGAGUAACACGUGGAUACCCUCCUUUAAGACUGGGAUCACUUCGGGAAACCUGAGCUCAACCCGAUCCUUAUUGAUGGUUCCGCGCUGCAUUAGCUAGUUGGUAAGGUAACGGCUUACCAAGGCUACGAUGCGUAGCCGACCUGAGAGGGUGAUCAGCAACACUGGAACUGAGACACGGUCCAGACUCCUACGGGAGGCAGCAGUGGGGAAUCUUGCGCAAUGGGCGAAAGCCUGACGGAGCAACGCCGCGUGAGUGAUGAAGGUCUUCGGAUCGUAAAACUCUGUUAGUAGGGAAGCGGUACCUAAUCAGAAAGCCACGGCUAACUACGUGCCAGCAGCCGCGGUAAUUC